AUUGAACGCUAGCGGCAUGCCUAACACAUGCAAGUCGUACGGUAACAGGUUUCCUUCGGGGAAUGCUGACGAGUGGCGAACGGGUGAGUAAUGCGUGGGAAUCUACCUAAAAGAAGGGAAUAGUUAAUGGAAACAUUAAGUAAUACCCUAUAAUUCUUACGAGACAAAGCAGGGGACUUUAGUAAUAAAGCCUUGCGCUUUUAGAUGAGCCCACGUCAGAUUAGCUAGUUGGUAAGGUAAAUGCUUACCAAGGCAAUGAUCUGUAGCUGAUUUUAGAAGAUGAUCAGCCACACUGGGAUUGAGAUACGGCCCAGACUCCUACGGGAGGCAGCAGUGGGGAAUCUUGGACAAUGGGC
rnacentral:rRNA from 1 species